rnacentral:lncRNA from 1 species
GUAUGUAGAGACCACUUUGCUCCAGAUGGGGAGGAAAAUGGUCGAAAGAAGUCCCAGAACAACCCAGGGAAAGUGUAGACCCUACUGCUCAGGCAAAAAUUCAAUUUUGAGGGUGAGAAUUUUCAGCCUGGUUCCUGAAAGUGUCCUAGACAAGGAAGAUGCAUUCUCACCACCACGCUGGGCCAUUCUGGAUAAAACCAAACCUGCUUCUUGGCAAAGGUCAGUGGUAAUGUCAGUAGCGUCUCAGACACCUGCCCAUGGAUGCCUUCUGCCAGGCAGCCAGAUGGCUCAUUACGACCCACAUGUAGCUCUCUAGGCCCAGUGCCCUGGCUUGGUGGCAGCAGAUGGCCUGGGGGACAGGGGCUUGGUCUCAUUGCUCAGAGUGUUCUCAGAGACCGUCUUGGGAUUAGCAAACUCAGGGGAUACCAAGGAAGAUUUCCUUAGACCUGGGUGGACCCAACUUAGAGUUUACUUCUAAGUAACUAGUUCUAAACUCUAGAAAAGUAGAAUAAAAUGAAAUAUACUUAUUACUUGCCAGGAAGUGGUUGAAUUCUUGCUGUUACUAUAAUGCUACUAUUUGGUAUUAUUUCAAGUAAGUAAUCAGAGGGUUUCAAUAUUUAAAAAUAAAUAAUGGCUGGGCGUGGUGGCUCACCCCUGUAAUCCUAGCAUUUUGGGAGGCUGAGGCGGGCAGAUCAUGAGGUCAGGAGAUCGAGAUUAUCCUGGCUAACACAGUGAAGACCCCGUCUCUACUAAAAAUACAAAAAACUAGCUGGGCGUGGUGGCGGGUGCCUGUAAUCACAGCUACUCGGGAGGCUGAGGCAGAAGAAUCGCUUGAACCCAGGAGGCAGAGGUUGCAGUGAGCUGAGAUCACACCACUGCACUCCAGCCUGGGCAACAGAGUGAGACUUCGUCUCAAAAAUAAAAUAAAAUAAAAUAAUAAAACAAAAUAAAAAUAAAUAAAUAUACAAGAAAACCACUGACCCUUCACUAAAUUGGUAGUUGUCAUCACACUUAAUCACUGCCUUGCCGGCAAUAUCAUUCCCUUCUGGAAAACCUGUCAUCAGCAGCUGGCAGGAACUCACACCGUUCUUAAAUUUAUCUGUUAAUAGAUGGUUUGACUGCAACUUUUUUUUUUCUUAACUUUUAAGCAGUAGCAAUUCAACACUGAAAAGGAAUGUGAUGUUUAUUGCUGUUUUCCCCCAGGAACAAAGAAAUCUGGCAGGACACACACAGGUACAGCAUGGACCUGCUUUCGGAGUUAUGCAUAAUGAUUUUUUAAGUUGGAGUGUGUUUGGAUGAGGAGGGACAAGAAAACUGCUUCUGCAGGGGAGGUGGUCCCCACUGCAGCUUCAUCUGUCCCUAGGCCACCUCCCUGCAGCCACCCCAGGCAGUCGUGCAGGACGUCAUGUCCUGGCUGCUUUCCUCUGAGUCACAGAGCUCGCCACAGCACUUCUUCCUCCGCCUCUUACAGGCCUGGCCAGCCAGGAAGUCACAACCACAGCUAAGAGGUUCUGUGCUGAGCAUCUACAGUAGCCCCCAAGUGAGGCCAGAGGUAGAUGGUAAUGGGUCUGAGGCUUGGGGCCAUUUCACAGGACAAUCAUCUCUAUACUUUUCAUUUUGGUUUUAGAACUCUGUGGGAUUUCUUUAUCUCAAAUGCCCUUAUCAGUCUGCAGAUCUCCUGAAGGCUCAUCUGGUUUGCUAGGUCUUAGUCUGCUCAAUACAGAUGAUAAGAUAGUGGGUGAAACAAGAGGUUUGGUAACAUAAGUUCCUGAUGACAUGAGUUGUACACAGUAUAUGUGCAAUUUCUCAACACAUGUUUGGCCUAAACACUUGCAAAUACACCAUCCUGAGCUAAGAGAGUGACUUUCUUUGAUUUUUUUUUUCUUUAAGCAAUGACACUAAUCCAACAACAAUCAUUGGAGAAUGCCUACUAUUUUCCAGGCAUUCUCACAAGACCACCAGAUUCAAUGUGAGAGAUCCCCUGCCCUCUAGAGUUUUACAGGUUAAUGGAAAGGGGUUUUUACCAAGAAGCGCAAAUCCAAAUUACUCGUUUCUUAUGUUAGCAACUUCACCCUCAGGAGUAAGCAGCAGCAGCAGCCAAGGGGCACACAGAGCCACAGGCUAAACACGGUCCACAGCUUCCUGAAAUCAAAGGGCUUCAAAGAUUUGGAAGACACAUUUCUUUUGAUUUUUAAAGCAACCACACACCUAUUCUGGAAUAGUGUACAAAAAUCACAUAGGCCAUCCCGACUCCUAACUGAAUCCCCUCUUCCACCGUCAGAGGACGAGGGCACUUUUUGGCAUGAUGGAGAGAAGCGAGGGGGCAGGGGUGGCCAGAGAGACGGCUGGAGUGGAGGCGGGGGCACCAGCGUGGGGUGAAGGCAGAGGCACCACGGGAAUGUAAAUUGCAGGACGCAUCCUGAGGCAGAGAGUCCUGCUCCUCGCUUAGCUCAGCACAGCGAGUCCCCUGGCUUCAGCUUCCCUCCUGAGCACCUGACGGUUGUCGGUUUACUGUGACUCACUGCCAUUCUAUCUGCCUGGGCUUAUGUUUCCAGCAUCUCACCAGAGCUGUUGUGACCCAUCUCCUGGGCAAAGCCUUCCACGGAGAGGCUGCCGGGCCAGCAGGAGAGGAGACCCAAUCCAUCCAUCAGCAUUUGAAUAAUUCCAUCCACACAUACUUCUCUUCCAAACACCCGGGCUAUUUUCCUUUCCCUGAGCCAUGCAAGCCCAAGGAGCCAGCAGGGUUGCGUGCUCUCAGGAGUAGGACACGUCACAUCAACUUGAGUGCUCCAGGAGCCCUGCCACAAUGGUUUCUUUGUGAGAUCAUCUUUGCAGCGGUUUCCUGAAGCUCUGGCCUCCUUCCUGGUAUCUUCACACAUUCUAGGUGUUUCAAUUCAGUAAAAACAUAAGGGCCUUUUGACUGCUCACUCCUGCACUUCACACUGGGAAGGACACAGAAGUCCCCAGAGAGUGCCCUGGACGACAAAAUGUAGUUCAGAGGUAUCUAAGGUGGGUUCCACCCAAAAGGGUCCCACAAAGAAAGAAUUCCAGGGCCAAUUAAAUUUGGGGAUCUGCAUAGUCCAUCUCUCUCUUGGUGAUUCAAAACAUAUAUUUAUAUAUAUUAAAGGUUCUGAGAAGUCCUGUAAGUAAAUCCUGUUCCACUUUUUAACCCACCAUCUCCCAAACCCAGCAUGAUACUGAUAUCAGCAUGCUACUCUUUUCAUAUAACACCUACUUAUAUAUGAAGGAACUAAUUGAGGUCUUUUGAGAUAUAUUUUAGGAAAUGAUCUAACAGUGGUUUUUAACCUAAGGAAACACCUCACUAGAGAGUGCUUGGGCACAGGAGGUGGCAUUUUGGGUUGUCACAAAGAUGGGGAGGUGCUACUUGCAUUUCAUACAUAGGGGUUGUGGGGGCAGGGGCAGCUAGUGCUGUUACAGUGAUGAUGCAAUGCGGCCCCGUCCCAAGUGGGGUGGGGGGCACUGUCCUGCCCUAAAUGCCCACAACUCUCCCCACGCCGCUCUCCCACCCCAUUGAGAAGCAGUGGUUGGACCUACGCUCAGCAUUGUGCUCCCAGGCCCUCUCUGCGGGUUCAAACGCCUCUUGAUGUCCUCUUGGU